GCUCAAGUGGUCUAACGGUUAUGAUGCGACCUUCCCAUCAGCUGUGUAUAAAAAUCUGCAGGUCGCGAACGGGGUUCGACUCCCCGCUUGAGCA